GCAGUCCCUCGCCUCCCAGGCGCGUGGUCUUCUCAGCAGAGAUCCCCACUGCCGUCCAGGCCCUCAGCCUCCCAAGGGUCCCACUCGCCCGGCCUCACCUCCCACGCAGGCCAGCGCAGCCUUGAAAGCGCAGCUUUCCAUCACCUUCUCGAUCAUCUUCUGCUCCUCACCCUUCGCUGGACUUGGGAUCCCGCCCAGGCUCCCAGGCUCCAGGAGCCGGGGCUGACGCUUGUCACCCACCAGGUACUGCAGGAGAAGGCUGUACUGCAGCGGAGCUUCGGCGGAACUCGCUGCCUCAGGGGCCGAACUCCCAGCAUUGGGGGCGGCCGCCGCCAUGACAGUCGCUGCCCAAGCAACUCUCGCGUCCUUCUCCCCGCAGCAGAUUCGACAAGCGUCACGUUGCGGGCCCUGAGACUAGCCACUGUGCUGCAACGGCAGAUUCGCCGCAGGAAGAAGCCGCGCGGCCUCAAGGCUCGUCGUGCGCACACCAGCGAGAGCGCUAUCUAGUUUCCAAAAAGAAAGCCUCUUGUGAAAAUGGAAUUGGGCUUGGACAGCUUUCCUCAUAUCACAGAUAAACGAGAUUCAGAUUCACCAGAAAGCGCCCUCACGGUCGGGGCUGCAGCGCGUGAAGGUCACGUAACAGCAUCCUCUGCUCAUCUUCACGGAGUAUUGGCCUGGCUUGCUGGAGGUCCAUGAGGCUGCCCCAAACCAUCACUGAGAACCAGGUGGUUAAGCUGCUGAGCGCAGAGUUAGUUUCUGACUCAGUAAGGUCUGAGGACUGUGAUCGUGCUCCCUGCUCUGGAUUCUACUUCAUGCCAGGAGAAAAUCUGAACCCAACGUGUUGCCAGGAAGACACAGGUGCUUCCAUCCAGGUUUAGUUCUUUUUUUCUGAGACAGUCUUGCUUCUUCACCCAGGCUGGAGUGCAAUGGUGAGAUCUCAGCUCACUGCAACCUCUGCCUCCCUGGUUCAAGCAGUUCUCCUGCUUCAGCCUCCCAAGUAGCUGGGAUUACAGUCAUGUGCCAGCACACCUGGCUAAUUUUUUGUAUUUUUAGUAGAGAUGGGGUUUCACCAGGUUGGCAAGGAUGGUUUUGAACUCCUGACCUCAAGUGAUCUGCCUGCCUUGGCCUCCCAAGGUGCUGGGAUUACAGGUGUGAGCCACUGUGCCUGGCCUAGGGGUACAAGUUAUAAUCCUCAGAUUUGAUCUGAAAAGUAUAGGAAGCAGAUGGAAAAAUGCAUAAUGUUUUCUCCAGCACUUUACACUUCUACAAGAGAGUCAGAAAAGAGUUAGGAAAGUUGUUUAAGAACUAGAGACUAAUGGCCAGGCAUGGUGGCUCAUGCCUGUAAUCCCAGCACUUUGGGAGGUCAAGGCAGGAGGAUCACUUGUGCCCGGGAGUUCAAGACCAGCCUUAGCCACAUAGUGAGACUGUGUCUCUACAAAAAAAUACAAAAAUUAGGCUGGGUUCGGUGGCUCACACCUGUAAUCCCAGCACUUUGGGAGGCCGAGGCCGGCAGAUCACGAGUUCAGG